UACGUAGGGUGCGAGCGUUUAAUCGGAAUUACUGGGCGUAAAGCGCGCGUAGACGGUUUUGUAAGUCAGAUGUGAAAUCCCUGGGCUCAACCUGGGAACUGCAUUUGAGACUGCAUGGCUAGAGUAUCGAAGAGGGAUGCAGAAUUCCAGGUGUAGCGGUGAAAUGCGUAGAUAUCUGGAGGAAUACCGGUGGCGAAGGCGGCAUCCUGGACCGACAUUGACGCUGAUGAGCGAAAGCUAGGGGAGCAAACGGGG
rnacentral:rRNA from 1 species